UUAGGUUAAGUUAUGAAGGGCGCAUGGUGGAUGCCUUGGUACUAGGAGCCGAUGAAGGACGGGACUAACACCGAUAUGCUUCGGGGAGCUGUACGUAAGCUUUGAUCCGGAGAUUUCCGAAUGGGGAAACCCAAUCAUCUUUACCGAUGAUUACAACUUGAUGA
rnacentral:rRNA from 1 species